GGGCCGGUAGUUCAGCCUGGUAUACUGACGGAUGUCAGGCCGUAGAACGUUCGGUUCGCAUAGGCGUUCUGCCUGGGAUGACCGAAAGGCCGCGGGUUCAAAUCCCGCCCGGUCCA
rnacentral:tRNA from 1 species